rnacentral:rRNA from 1 species
CAGCCGCCGCGGGAAUACGAAGGGUGCAAGCGUUAAUCGGAAUUACUGGGCGUAAAGCGUGCGUAGGCGGUUUGUUAAGUCUGUUGAGGAAUCCCCGGGCUCAACCUGGGAAUGGCAAUGGAUACUGGCAAGCUAGAGUGUGUCAGAGGAUGGUGGAAUUCCCGGUGUAGCGGUGAAAUGCGUAGAGAUCGGGAGGAACAUCAGUGGCGAAGGCGGCCAUCUGGGACAACACUGACGCUGAGGCACGAAAGCGUGGGGAGCAAACAGGAUUAGAUACCCCCGUAGUCCCUGUCUCUUAUAC